rnacentral:rRNA from 1 species
AGCAGCCGCGGUAAUUCCAGCUCCAAUAGCGUAUAUUAAAGUUGUUGCAGUUAAAAAGCUCGUAGUUGAAUUUCGGGAUUAGUAGUCUGGUCGUGCCACUGGUAUGUACUGGUCUUACUGAUUUAUCCUUCUUGAAGAACCGUAAUGUCAUUAAUUUGGUGUUGCGGGGAAUCUGGACUGUUACUUUGAAAAAUUAGAGUGUUUAAAGCAGGCUAACGCUUGAAUACAUUAGCAUGGAAUAAUGAAAUAGGACGUUCGAUCCUAUUUUGUUGGUUUCUAGGAUUGACGUAAUGAUUAAUAGGGAUAGUUGGGGGCAUUAGUAUUCAAUUGUCAGAGGUGAAAUUCUUGGAUUUAUUGAAGACUAACUACUGCGAAAGCAUUUGCCAAGGAUGUUUUCAUUAAUCAAGAACGAAAGUUAGGGGAUCGAAGACGAUCAGACACCGUCGUAGUCUUAACCAUAAACUAUGCCGACUAGGGAUCGGAUGAUGUUAAUUUUAUAAUGACUCAUUCGGCGCCUUAA